GUGCUUGUAUAAAAGAGAGAUAUCUCCCCCUACAAGGAUGGAUACAACCUUCGGGCUUUACCUGUUACCACACAUCCGUUUAAGGCAUUCCAACUCGAUAUAGAAAAAUCUUUGG
rnacentral:ncRNA from 1 species